GGAAUUUUCUGCAGUUCCAAUAUCUCUACUUGCAGAUUUCCGUGAACACUCCUGGUUGAUGACCUACAUUUUAAUUGUAUUACUCUUAUGAACUUUGUGACGUAAUUUUAAAGACUUGAAGAAAUUUUAUAUUUUAGUGUUUUUCAGAUAAGUAUGACCAAACAAGAUUAAUGCUCGCUUAUCUCAAUAUUUACUAGAACAGGAUGCAGCAUGUGUACAGAAACUAUACCAAGAGUUGAAUGGAAAUUUUGACGAUGUUCCAUUUCUUUUUUAUUUGCAGAAUGUAAAGGCAUAUUUGAGG
rnacentral:misc_RNA from 1 species